rnacentral:rRNA from 1 species
AUGAACGCUGGCGGCGUGCCUAAUACCUGCAAGUCGAGCGAACAGAUGAGGAGCUUGCUCCUCUGACGUUAGCGGCGGACGGGUGAGUAACACGUGGAUAACCUACCUAUAAGACUGGGAUAACUUCGGGAAACCGGAGCUAAUACCGGAUAAUAUAUUGAACCGCAUGGUUCAAUAGUGAAAGACGGUUUUGCUGUCACUUAUAGAUGGAUCCGCGCCGCAUUAGCUAGUUGGUAAGGUAACGGCUUACCAAGGCAACGAUGCGUAGCCGACCUGAGAGGGUGAUCGGCCACACUGGAACUGAGACACGGUCCAGACUCCUACGGGAGGCAGCAGUAGGGAAUCUUCCGCAAUGGGCGAAAGCCUGACGGAGCAACGCCGCGUGAGUGAUGAAGGUCUUCGGAUCGUAAAACUCUGUUAUUGGGGAAGAACAAAUGUGUAAGUAACUAUGCACGUCUUGACGGUACCUAAUCAGAAAGCCACGGCUAACUACGUG